rnacentral:lncRNA from 1 species
GUCAGCCGCGGUGCCGUCGAGGGCGAGCGAAGGUGGCCUCAACCCUCGAGCAGAGAUCAGCGGCAGUGGCGUCGAGGGAGACUGGCGGUGGCGUCAAGGGCGACCGGCGGUGGCGUCGAGCAGAGGUGGAGAACGGACGGGCGAAGAGAGAACUGUGAGUGAAAACUAAAAGUGUUGUGUGGAAGAAGUGAGAGCAUUU